GAAAUGCGAUAAGUAUUGUGAAUUGCAGAAUCCAGUGAAUCAUCGAAUCUUUGAACGCACAUUGCGCCCGCCGGUACUCCGGCGGGCAUGCCUGUUCGAGCGUCAUUUCAACCCUCAAGCCCCCCGCGGCUUGGUUAUGGGACCUCCCUGUCACAUGGGGGGUUCUCAAAUCGAUAGGCGGGUCACCGCAGGCUCUCAGCGCAGUAACUUGCUUCUCGCUGGGCCUAGCCCCAGGUACCCCAGCCUCUAAAACUAUUUUUUUUAAUACAAGGUUGACCUCGGAUCAGGUAGGAAUACCCGCUGAACUUAA
rnacentral:misc_RNA from 1 species